rnacentral:tRNA from 1 species
GAGAAGAGUUAAGAAACAAAAGAAACUGCUAAUAUCUAAACCUGUGGUUAAAAUCCACAGUCUACUCA